CUCUACCUGAAGAGUCCUAAAUAGGACAAAAUGCACAUCCUGGAU
rnacentral:hammerhead_ribozyme from 1 species